AAAUUUGCGGAUAAAUUUUAUCCAUGCCCAAAUAAUCCACGGGUAUAAUGAUUCGCCUGCGAGUUAUCCAAUCCGCCCGUUUGUCAUGUCUAAUUCUUAUCCGUCGUUCCUUUGGACAUAUUUUUUCUUUUCAAGUUAUUUUAGUAGUUGAGUGGAAAAUAUUUUUAAAGAACCUAUUUGUUAGCUCUUAGGGUGUGUUUGGUUCGAAGUUGGAGUCCGAAUCAGAAUUGGAAUCAAAAUAAGCUGGAAUCGGAAUCGGAAUCGAAAUGACUCAUUACCUAAUUCUGUUUGGUUCAUUACCUGAAUCGGAAUCGGAAUAAAUCAUUCCCAUUGUCGGUAUUUGGUUCAGGUGGAUAUAAAAAACGUAAUCAAAUUAAUAUACUAACAUUAUCUUUAUAAUAUAUUAAUUUAAAUUCAAAUUAAAAAUUAAAUAUUAAAAAUUUACAUCAAAAUUUUGAAAUAAUGUCAAAAUUUUAAAUCUAUUUUUUUUUAAAAAAAUUAAAUUUUGAAGUUGAGUGGAUAAUUCAAAAUAUAAAACUAAAUUUUGAUUUAUUCAAAUUCAAACUUAAAAUUACAAUUUAAAUUUUAAUUUGAAUCCAUAAAUUUAAUUUAAGUUUGAAAUAAAAUUUGAAUAAAACUUUAUAUAAAUUAAAAUUUAAUUUACAUUCAAAUUCAUAAGUUAAAUUCGAAAUACUUGAUUAAAUUUUAAUUUUUAAUUUAAGUUUAAAUUAAAAUUUUAAAAUUAUAUAUUAAAAUUUUAAAUUUUAAAUAAUUAAAAAAGUUGAAAAAAUAAAUUUAAUUCGAAUAAAUAUUCAUUCCGUCCGGAUUCAACUUUCAAUCCGGCCUCCUAGACCGGAUUGAAAAAAAGGUGAUUAAGAAAUUCUCAUUCCACUCGGGAAUCGGAAUCGGAAUGGGACUCCCGCAUACCAAACACCCACAAAUGAAUUUAUCCAUUCCGAUUCCAAUUCCAGGAUAAAAAAGAAGCAAAUCAAACACGCCCUUAAUUAGAUGAUGAAUUAUAUUGGAAUCUUGCAUAUAAAG
rnacentral:lncRNA from 1 species